rnacentral:rRNA from 1 species
UACGAAGGGGGCUAGCGUUGCUCGGAAUCACUGGGCGUAAAGCGCACGUAGGCGGAUUGCUAAGUCGAGGGUGAAAUCCUGGAGCUCAACUCCAGAACUGCCCUUGAUACUGGCGGUCUCGAGUCCGGGAGAGGUGAGUGGAACUGCGAGUGUAGAGGUGAAAUUCGUAGAUAUUCGCAAGAACACCAGUGGCGAAGGCGGCUCACUGGCCCGGUACUGACGCUGAGGUGCGAAAGCGUGGGGAGCAAACAGG